UACGGAGGGGGCGAGCGUUAUUCGGAAUUAUUGGGCGUAAAGGGCGCGUAGGCGGCCCUGUAAGUCAAAGGUGAAAUCCCUCGGCUCAACUGAGGAACUGCCUUUGAAACUGCAGGCUUGAGGCCGGGAGGGGGUAGCGGAAUUCCCAAUGUAGCGGUGAAAUGCGUAGAUAUUGGGAGGAACACCAGUGGCGAAGGCGGCAUCCUGGACCAUUACUGGACGCUGACGGCGCGAAAGCGUGGGGAGCGAACAGG
rnacentral:rRNA from 1 species